rnacentral:rRNA from 1 species
AUUGAACGCUGGCGGCAGGCCUAACACAUGCAAGUCGAGCGGAUGAAGGGAGCUUGCUCCUGGAUUCAGCGGCGGACGGGUGAGUAAUGCCUAGGAAUCUGCCUGGGAGUGGGGGAUAACGUCCGGAAACGGGCGCUAAUACCGCAUACGUCCUGAGGGAGAAAGUGGGGGAUCUUCGGACCUCACGCUCUCAGAUGAGCCUAGGUCGGAUUAGCUAGUUGGUGGGGUAAAGGCCUACCAAGGCGACGAUCCGUAACUGGUCUGAGAGGAUGAUCAGUCACACUGGAACUGAGACACGGUCCAGACUCCUACGGGAGGCAGCAGUGGGGAAUAUUGGACAAUGGGCGAAAGCCUGAUCCAGCCAUGCCGCGUGUGUGAAGAAGGUCUUCGGAUUGUAAAGCACUUUAAGUUGGGAGGAAGGGCAGUAAGUUAAUACCUUGCUGUUUUGACGUUACCAACAGAAUAAGCACCGGCUAACUUCGUG